rnacentral:rRNA from 2 species
UGGGGAAUAUUGCACAAUGGGGGAAACCCUGAUGCAGCGACGCCGCGUGAGGGAAGAAGGUUUUCGGAUUGUAAACCUCUGUCUUCAGGGACGAAAUUGACGGUACCUGAGGAGGAAGCUCCGGCUAACUACGUGCCAGCAGCCGCGGUAAUACGUAGGGAGCAAGCGUUGUCCGGAAUUACUGGGUGUAAAGGGAGCGUAGGCGGGAUUGCAAGUUGAAUGUGAAAGGUAACGGCUCAACUGUUACAUUGCGUUCAAAACUGCAGUUCUUGAGUGAAGUAGAGGCAGGCGGAAUUCCUAGUGUAGCGGUGAAAUGCGUAGAUAUUAGGAGGAACACCAGUGGCGAAGGCGGCCUGCUGGGCUUUAACUGACGCUGAGGCUCGAAAGCGUGGGGAGCAAACAGG